UUGAUUAUGGGAACCAUCCGUA
rnacentral:piRNA from 1 species